rnacentral:rRNA from 1 species
CAGUCGCCGCGGUAACACGUAGGGUGCGAGCGUUAAUCGGAAUUACUGGGCGUAAAGCGUGCGCAGGCGGUUGUGUAAGACAGGUGUGAAAUCCCCGGGCUUAACCUGGGAACUGCGCUUGUGACUGCACAGCUAGAGUAUGGCAGAGGGGGGUGGAAUUCCACGUGUAGCAGUGAAAUGCGUAGAGAUGUGGAGGAACACCGAUGGCGAAGGCAGCCCCCUGGGCCAAUACUGACGCUCAUGCACGAAAGCGUGGGGAGCAAACAGGAUUAGAUACCCCAGUAGUCCCUGUCUCUUAUAC